CUGUGAUUCAAUGGUAGAAUGUUAGCUUCCCAAGCUGAACACGCGGGUUCGAUUCCCGUCAGGU
rnacentral:tRNA from 1 species